GGUAAUCAGAGAGAGCAGUCGGGUUAUGGAAUACUGCUAAACUUUAAUUUCAUAUUCUAGGUGUUCAAUGACAACAGUUUGUGGAUGGCACGAACACAGUCUGGAAGAUGAAUCAGCCAGCCGCCACACCGCGACACGCUGCCUGGACAGCAUCAAAAUAAAAGCGUACCGAGGCAUUGAUGUCCAUAUAUCAUUUGGUAAUGUAAGGUUUAUUUUGAAGUCGGCCUUCUUACUGAGUUGGCGACGUGUUACUGUUAAAUUUUGCAUUUUAGUUGUGUUCUACAAAAAAUAUAUAUAUUUGAGAGUGUGAGUUUGUGAAUGACAAUUCAUAAACUGGUGAGGACUUAAUUAGUUAAAGUUAUGUGUGCGUGGUUUAUUACAACAGAGUCUGGAUCCAGUCAUCACGUCCUUACCCUUUCGGAAACAAAGGGACCUGGCGACAAUUUGUUGAAGUGUGUUUGACUGACACAUCAUUCAAAAGCAACAAACACAUUAUACACAUAGAACACAAAUAAAACUGGUUUUCACUGGGUGUUUAGCUUCAGUAUUGCGACAGGAGGUCUCCUCCCGUCGACACUGUGUAGCUUAGGAGUUCACAGAGGUUGCAUUACGUUCAAAAGCCCAAAUCAUCACAUGAUUGUCAUCAGACAGUGAGGCGACAGACUCUGCAAUUAUGGGUCAAUUAACAUCAAUGUGCAGAGAUAUGGAGAGCGAGAGCACAGAUGUGUCAGACAGGAGGAACACUGUGAGGACGUCAAAAAAAAAAACAAAAAAAAAAACAAGUCAUACAUUAUUAAAAAGGCUUGAGUGCGUUUCAUUGGCUUCAACCUCACGUCUGUGCCAGAAGAUUCGCAUUAGCAUUGGGAGCAUCGAGCAUGAUGUUGACCCAUUUGCUGGAACCACGCCUCAAUCACAUUUGAGAU